AUUCCGCUUCCUCCUCCCGCCGCCGCCGCCGCCACUGCGUCCUGUCAGCGCCGGUUGCUAGGUGUGGUGCGUCGGGAGGGGGCCGGGGCCGGCGGCCGCGGGCGGGGGCCGGGGAGCUUGCCCUCUCCCUGGGAGGCGGCCGAGGGGCCCGGGCGGGGCCGGGGACGCGGGCCCGGGGGCUCUGGGUGCCCUCCCCUGCCCCGGCCUGGCGCGGACGCCCGGGCGCUGCGGGCUGAGGUCUUGGGUGCGCCCGCGGGCCGCGCCCAGCGCCCCGGGGUCGACGCGCCCUGGAGGCCCCUGCGGCGGCGCCCGCUGGAGAGACACCCCCAGGGCCCAUGGCCGGGCAUUUAAAUGCACCCCGGCUCUGCGAUUUGCCUUUCUAAUGGUGCUAGGCCCGAGGUGCGCUGGCUGCGCCCUGGGAUCGGCGGCGGCCUGCGCAGCGCCCCGGGCCCGGGAGACGCCGGGGAGGGGGCGCCCCGCAGGGUGGCUGCUUUCCCUUCACGCCUGGACCCCUGGACCUUUCAACAAGUCCUCUGAUUUGCAGAAGUCAUUGCACACAUUUUCACACUUCUAUUCGGAACCCCUGCUAAGGGAGGUGGGCCGGGUGCAUCUGGCUUAGGCGGUCCAACCACCUGCGGAAGGUGUGACCGACGCCAGCGAGUUGUCCUGCGUGGGCUAGAAGGUGAAGGGUCCGAGCGAUGUCCCAAUGGGGCUGUCUAAUCCAGAGAACCUGUAAAUUGCCCCCAGGAAGUCCAAAUGAAUGCCAUGGAUUCAGCCAUGUGGAUGCAGCUCACGUUUCUACAAAGUUGAGAGAAUAAAUCACGACUGCUGUGUAUUUAUGCAGGAAUAAAAUGAGGCAGAACCCUAUGCUCCUUUGCUUAGUAUAGUGCUGUCUCUGCACACAGUGGCUGCUUAAUAAGUGUUGAAUGCCUGUUUAGAAUGUGAUUUGAUGGGCCAUCCGGAAUAGGAGAUAAUCAUGGGAAACGUCUACAAAAUGUCUUUCAGAGGAAAAUGCUGUUGAGUAAUUGUCCAGGUUUUGAAACUUUUCAAGUUUUCAGGCGUCCUUGUAAUAGCUUCUUCCAUUUCCUCUGCUAAAGGUAUGACAGAAGAGCUGGGCAAGUUUUGGUAGUCUUAAAAGCAGUUUAAUGGAGCAACCAAUUUGCUGAUUCAUAUCAUGAUUGAAUAGUCAUAACUGAAAGUGCUUGAAAGUAUUAAAUCAGAUUUUUCAUGAUGGCUAGUUUAAAAUAAAGCGAAAACACCGGUACUGUGAAGUUCUGGUAGAAAUGUUACUAGUUCAAGUUCUUCCCCUUACUCCCAAUAAUAAGUAAAAAAUAAAUAUAGAUAAUGCUAUACAUUAAUAUGUAUGAUAUAAGUAAUAUAAAUAAAUAAUUUCUCUUGACUUACAGAAGGCUGUCAUUGCAUAUCCCAUCCAUUCUCGCUAACAGUUAUUUCAGAAUAAACUAUAAUUUAUAUAAGCUGAGUAAUAAUUUUACCCCAUUGCCUACCUACUUAGACAAGCUGGUUAAAAGACAGUAUAAAUUAUAUUUAUUAAAAUGUGUUAAAGACAGUUAUCCUUCUUGAGGAUUUAGUUUGAGAUGGUUUAAAACUUGGUGAAUCAUGAGGUUUUUUUUUUAAGUGUAGAAAUUGUCUUAAUAUUUUGCACACAUUUUUAAAGAAGGUUAAGAGUUUGAUACGUUUUCUAAAACUCAGCUUUGAAGUAAUGCUACCUCAUUCCCAGAAGGCUAGUGUUGUCCUUUUAAUAGUGAAAAUGUGGAAAAAUUAAGUUUACAGCAAUAGCAGUGACCUAGGUGAACUGUGUUGCAGGGCUAACACAGUUGAAAACAGUUUGAACCAGCAAACUUUAUGAAAAGCAAAUGUUAAAAUGAACAAACACUUGCAAUUCCCAGGAUGAAGAGGCUCAAACUAUUAUACACUUCUGCUGGGGAGAGGCCCUUUACUAUCAAAGGCAGCCCUAUAUGCAGAAAGAAGAACUGAUCUUAAGAAGAAUAAAAAUAUCCCAAUUAGUAGAUAGUGUCAUAUAAAUACACUUCUGAUGAAAAGACAUGGGUGAAAAUAUAAAGCAUUUAGUCAAAGUUCUAGACAGGUAUUGUUAUGUGGUAUUUAUCGUUUUUGAUUCAAUCUAUAAGUAUUUGGAGACCGUUAAUGAUUGACUUACUGAUUUCAUGUCUGUUGGUGAGUGGUUACAUUAAAAAGAUUCAUGAAAAGAAUAAGAGGUGUGUUAUUUUGCUUUUAAUUUGUUCAACAGUCUUGUUAUUUAGCAACCGUCUGAGUCUGUUACAUGGAGAUGGGAAAAGCAGGUCCAGGUUUGCUUGCUUCUUAUUUUGAGUAGAUAAUUGAGUUUGUAGAAACAUUCUUGGUAUGAACAUCCUAGAUAGAUGAAGUUAAACUGGUAACUGGGAAUCUUAGAAACACCAGGAGCACUAAAUUUAGCACUGAAGGUCAUGUCCCAGGCUCAUGAAAUGCCGCUACAACCCUGCAUCCCAGUGCUAUGAAAUCGUAUGGCUUUUUGUCUGAGAAACACAACUGUUGAAUCAUUCUUAUUUGAUUAUUUGGUGCAUUUUUAAAAGUACCUCUGCAUUUUGAAUUUAUUUAUGUAAUAAUAUAUAUUGAGUCCCUAGUUUAUGCCAGGCAAAGUUAUGAGCACUUGAUAUUUUUUGGUUAACAAAAUGAAAAUAUCACUCUUUAGGAAGUUUAUAUUCUAGGAUAGGGGGCCAGACAAUAAACAAUUGAGGUAUGUGAUACACAGUAUGUUGGGAGGUGGUUAGUGAUACAGAAAAGAGAAAAACUAGAUCAGGGUCCGGAGGGUUGGGAGGAGAAAGUAUGAGAAUUUUAAAUAGAUUGGUCAGGGUGGGCCUUGCUGAGAGGCUGAUAUGGGAGACAAAACCUCGAAGGAGGUGUGAGAGUUAGUCAUGAGGACAUUCUGGGCGCAGGCAGUACACAGGCCCCAAGGCAGGCCUGCAGCACUUGAAUAGAAACACAGGAAUCUGACCCAAUUCAGUUAUUCAUGUGAUCGUACCAGACUAGCAGGUCAUUUAGAACUUUCCUCAGAUGUUAGGAUCCUCAGCUUUGCUAUUGAAACAUUUCCCUGCAAGGGCCCAGUUAAGGGGCAGAGUCUCAUUGACCAAGAAUGGCUUGCAUUAGCUAUGACUUGGUUCCUGACCCCGAAUAUCAACAGGUUUCUUGUUGUGAGUCUCUACUUGUUAGUUUCCUCAUCUCCAAAACCCAGGUAAUAAACCUACAGUGCUUCAUUUCAUAGUAUAGAUUUAUAAACCGUCUAAUUAAUAAAGGUCAAAGUUUCUGUAAAAAAAAAUCAGGGCACUUACUAUCAAAACUGUAGAAUUUAGCUCCUAAGAUGAUUUAGUAAAUAUUUGCAUUAUCUUCUCAAAGGAGCAUCACAGUGUACUAAAUAGAUAAGCUGUGCAAUAUGUCAUAGGUCCUUAUUACUCCCACUUUUAGGUGAGCAAACUAAGGUACAGUUUAUAAUUGCCUGAGCUUUCGUGGCUGAUGUGUAUGAUUUGAGAUUUGAAUUCCAGACAGGUAUGCAAAGCUAAGCCUAUGCCAGUUGCCAAUUAGGUGAAGAACGUGACAGUCCCCUCCUCACCUCCCCUCACACGAUUGACUCUGUUUCCUCCUUUAGAAAGUAACUGAACUCGAGAUGAAGGUCAUCUGAGCAGUGGCAUAGCGAAUCCAGCCUGCUUGGAGUUGAACACACAUGUCUGCCACUUGUCCCCCUUAUGACCAGGGGCAAAUUAACCGUACUAUGCCUCCUCUGUAAAAUGAGGAUAGUAGCAGCAUCCAUCUCACGGAGUGGUUAGUGAGGAUUAAGUGAGAUAAUAUAUGUGAAGUGUUUAUCUACAAUAAUAAGUUGUCUACAUCAUCUAGUUUCUUGCCAUUUGUGUAUCUGCUAAAUAAAUAUGUAAUCCUACUGUCAGAGUCUACCUUCGAGAUUAACAUGGGUUGUAUCCACCUAUUAGUGGUGCUGUUUUGGGCAUUUUAUAACUAUGACAUCAUCAGGCUCUUCCUGGGAAGGACUGAGAAUGGAAAAUAGGAGACUCCUCAACAGUCUAGUGCUGGUGUUGCAGCCUCUGGCCACGUUCUCUUUUGUGUGGCCAGAGGCACUUUACACCCUGGCAGAGGCAUUUGCCACAGUGGACUGGGAAAGUGGUGUCAAAGCCAGCGGCUUCCAACAUGGCCUUUCCUUGUGGCCUGAAUUUAUUUGAAAAAAUCCAGGACUAGAAAGAGGCACUGUGCCUUGGGCCUGUGGGUGCAUUCCAUUGAGGACACUUCCUGUGGGGAGAAGGAAUGACUGAAUUAAUAAAUGAAUGAAUGAAAGGCUUGUUGCUGCCUGCCCUGCUCUCUGCCUGUGCCCUGUGGCUUGGCGGCAAGAUCUCCCUGUUACUCCCAGGGUUCCCGAGAAGCCCCCAGGUGUAAUGCUAGGAGUUUUAAAUACAUGUGCAUACACACACACACACACACACACACACACCCACACACCCCAUAGGCAGGAUCAGGGAACCCGAAAUCUGAAACUUUACGGCAGUCUCCAAAACUCUGUUUUCACUGGUUUUUCCAUUAGCCUCUUCUCACCUGUAAACAGUCAGAUCAUCCUUUAUAAAACAUCACUGUUGAACAUCCUGUCUCAUAAGUUUCACAAGCUUCUAAUUGUUUUCAUUUAGUAUACACAUUUUCUGACAUGUGACCGAAAUGUACAGACACCAGAACUCUGCCUGUAACUGACUGGGUUGACAAAAACCCACAUAUUCUUCAGAAAAUGGUUUCCUUUAGAGUUCAUAUAUUUCGGAGAUAUCUCCUACGUUGACAGUUCUAGAAAUACAAACUGACAGCUGUUUUGAGAAAACCCAAUUCUUCCCGUAGGUGACAGUGAGGAUACCUUAAGGCUGGCACAGGCUGGUGACACUUGAUGAGGGGCUUCCCUGGGACUGUUUGGAAGCCAGAGGCCUGGUGUUGUAGACUGAGUCUGAGAGACAGGAGACAAUGUUUCUGAAUUCCUUAAAAAUCCUCCUUUUCUAGUUUUAGCUUCUAGGGCAACAAUCAUACAUACCCCACAUUCCCUUAUAUUUCUCUACCCCAUUCUUACCCCCGCCUUCAGAUCUUGACAGUACAGACGUGUCCUGUGUACAAAGAAAUACUUGCUGGAUUGUAGAUACUCAUUUUGUUUCAUGGUGAGGUAAUAGAUUUAUUCCAUGUUGACCUGGCUAACGUAUUAAGUUGAAAAAUGUUAUUUAUUUAGAAUCUGAAGAUAGGAAACCAUAGAUGUCAGAAAUUUAUUAUGUGUGUAUUUUUUAAAAGUGCCUUCCAUUUAAUAUAUUUAAUUGCUGUAAAGAAAAUUGUAUUUUCCCCUCGCUGUAAGCACUGGAAUGUUGCAGUAGUUUUCACCUACUUUUUUUUUUUUUUUUUUUUUUUUUUAAAGCUAGCUGCAAGCAGGGACCAGAUUAGUGGAUAUCCUCUUUAAGGGUGAAGUCUUUCCAAUUGCUGUCAACUUUGGCAGGAGUCAGAGGGACUCUUCUUGGGUCACUAACAAUAGACUGUCUGCCCAGCACCAGAGAGCACUGAUAGUCCCCUGACGGCCAUUGUCCCUUGCCCAGCUCACCCACUGGCCUCCCAAGGAAGCACUGUUCAUUGUCUGCCAGACUACAAUGGUGACUUUCUCCUGAGAUAGACCUCCUUGAAGGGACAUGAUCUGGAUGCCAGGUUAAUAACACUGAAAAAUUCACCAUUUCUUUGGUAUUAUAGAUAUAAUUGAUAUAUAGAAAUAAAUAUAUAUUUUAGGCACAAAGGCAUGUAGGAUAUCUAACACAUAUAUAAAUAAUACAUGUAUAUGUCUAAUACACAUACCACAUAUAUGUGUGUACGUAUAUCCAUAUGUGUGUAUAUAUUUAUGUGUGUAUAUGUAUACAUUUGUAUUAUACAUUUUUUCCCUCUCUUUCAAGAUCACCAUGGAUAGUGAGGACAGCCACACAUUUUUGAGUAUUUCCUAUGUUAGUGCUUAAGACAGUACUUCCUAUCUCUAAGGAUUUGAAAUUUAUUUGGAGAGACCAGACAUGUACAGACUGAGAUAAAUAAUGAAUAAUAAUAGGGACCACAGAGGCAGAUUUAUUGUGAAGCUAAUGAAGCUCCAGCCCCAGGGCCCCUGACUUGUACAACGCAUUCCUUGCCGUUUUUGAAUAUAUUGCCAGGGCCCACCCAGCACUUUCCAGGGCCCUGGAGGAGCCCUAGCAGUAUACGUAGCUGGGCCUUCAUGGGAUCAUAACUGGUAAAAUUGGAAGAAGAUUUUAAGCAAUCCUUUAAUGUUUUUCUUUCUCAUUCUGACUUCCCUGCUGUCACAUUUCUGUUUGGGUUUGAUGACAUUGGACUUGAAAGUGCUUUUGAGAUAUAGCUAGGGGGAAGUCGAAUUGGGUCCACAUUUUGUUUGGGUUUAGUGGGAUGUAUUUAUGCAGUUCACAGUCAUCUCUGUGUCAAGUUAUCCCUAGCCAUCCUAGUGUAGAAGUUGCUUCAUAGGAUCGCCACCCACCGUGCCAGCUUACCUGGGGUCCUUACACAAAGGGGAGGGUCAGAGAGAGAAUUGCAGUGUUAACGGGUACCAUGACAUCUGCUGUGGGAUGGUUUAUGGUGCGUGGAGCCAGGUCUGUGGAGAAUUCUUUCACUUGUUAGAUGUGUAAAAUUCUACGUGGAGGAUUCAGUUCUUAUCUAAGUGUAGUCAGUAUGAAAAUUCUCUUCUUUUAGGAAUAUACUCAAUAAUACAAAUAUACUAUUAGAAAUGCACCAUUUUUAAUGGGAAUUCUGUGUUUAAGAUUCUUGUUCAUUUGACAUGAAUAUGCCUGAUACCAAAAAUACUGACAACAAACUGGUUAAUGAGUAUCAUUGAUAAAAAGAAUAUUUAAAGUUAGUCAUUGCACGAGAAAACUUGAAAUGUCCUGGAUUUUUAUGGCUCAUAUGUGAAAGAAAAUUAAGAGAUGUGAUUACAGGUUUGACAACAAUCCUAAAAAUGUAUAUGUCAUUGCCAAUAAAGAACUAUAAGGCUAAAAGUAACUUUUCUGAAUUGUCAAUAAUUAGGAAUAAAUUUUGAUCACCCAUGCUUGAGGGGAGAUUGAUUCAUCUUUCUGCCCUGUGGAAAAUGAUAUGAAUAUAAGUCAUUGUGAUAUGAGGAUUCAUCAGAGUAUACAGCCCAAAAGAAGUAUUUAUAGCAGUGUGUCAGGAAGUUAAUUAAUACACAUACUGGGUUCUUUUCCUGGAUUCUGAUUUUAGGAUGUUUUGGUAUUGCGGCUUGUAAAAUUUUGUGAUUUGUUGUGAUUUCUUAAUCUCAAUAGAUAAUCACUUUUGUAAACAUUUUAUAACAUUCAAUUUUUUUUCAUAAGAAAAGUCUGAAUCUGCAGGCCCACAAAACUUGGGUCUAUUCCUUGAGCUCCCAAUUCGGGAAUCAUUACUAUAUGUGCCACAGACAGUGCUAAAUAAUUUUUGUAUAGUAUUUCAUUGGCCCUCACAGCAAGCCUGUGAAGUAGACAUUACCCCCAUCCUGUAAGUACUGCCUUCCGCUUUGGAGUUAAAUAUGCUACCAUAUUAGUUAAAUAACACACUUAGUGAAAUAUGAACUAGAGUGUUUGUUUAUAUUGGUAUAAAACAGAAAUAUUUUUCUUCAGGACAGAAAGCCUCUUUUACCUCAAUAAAUAUCAUUAUUUUAAUGGGUCUUCCCCUCUCUGUCCUGUAGCCCCUGCCCACAGCUGCACCAGCGGGGGUGUGCUCUGAACUGUGUGGUCACCUCCUGUGCACUGUUUCCUCCCCCAGAAACUCAGGGUCUUGUCAUCAUCCUAUCCUCGUCCCCAAGACGUGUUUUCAGAAAUGGUAUGAAAAUAAAAAUUGAGAAGUACUUUGGGCUGUGAAAAAAAUAAAUUACAAAGGUAACUUUGGACAGUGAAAAACAUCUUUGAAAUUAAUUUCUGUAGGUUUGCAUCAAUGAGGGCUGUAUAUUUAUAUGUUUAUGUGUUUAUGGCAUUCACACAAAUAUCCAUUAUGCAAUUAGUCCAGUAUGGUUUAUAUUAAGGGAAUCUGAAAGAGACUCUUUUUAAAGCUGAUUUAAAAAGGAAAUUGAUUUUCCUUGUUAAAUUGCCAGGGGUAUUUGGUACACAGGAGGCAGAGGCCUGGGUGGUGAGAAGCAUGGACUGUGAAGCUAUACAGAAUUGGAUUUUGAAUCCUCCUGAUCUCACUAACUUGAGCUUUUCAAACUUGGGCAGCUCUUACAGUCUUAUUUAUAUGAGAUAGUAAUACUAUUAUUUAUUAUUUGGGGGGAUCCCGAGAUUGAUUUUCCUUUCACAGUACCUACUGGCUAGUUGCUUUAAUAUGCAUUAUGCAGUGUUAGUCCCAUGCGACGCAGGAGGAAGCCAGGACACAGAGCAAAGAACAGCCAGGAAAAUGCCCGGGGUAGCCAGGGCCGGCUUUGCUGCCAGGUGUGCCCAUAUACUCAGUGCUUGCUCUUUACAGCCUAAGUUGUGAUCUUUUACAAGAUGUUUGCAUUUUCAUUGAAGGCUCUUCCGCACCUGAAAGUCUUGGAGAAAUAAAUACAGAAAGGCUGGAUUUCCACCAAGAGCAGUGUCGAUGGGAGCAGUAUGGAUGGUUGAUGACAUAUUUUGAUGCCGGUUGUCUGGUUGAGGUAGAAAUGUUUCUGAAUGUGUCAAGGCUUCUGAAGAAAACACUUAGGUAGGACAGGAGGGUGCAUGAGCAUCCCAUCACAGUAACAACAAUGAAAACAAUAAUUUGGCAGUUCUAAAAUGGUUGUAAUUACUGAAUUGUCCAAAGACGCUAACUGGUUUUCUCUCUCUCGCUGAUGAUCAUUUAGGGAUAGGUUCUCCUGACAAACACAAUACCUAACCCUCUACACAUACACACACAUACACACAUACACACACACACACACACACACACACACACACACACACACACACACACACACACACAUAUCAACUUCUCUUUUACUUCAGAUUUCCAAAAUUAAAAUCAUGUAAUUAUGUUCAGGUACUUUAUUUUAUUAUUAUUUUUCAGACAGGGUCUUGGUAUGUUGCCCAGGCUGAUCUUGAACUUUUGGGCUCCAGCGAUCCUCCUGCCUCAGCCUUCUGGUAGCUGGGAUUGCAUGCACACGGCCCAGUACUCAGCUCAUGUACUUUAUUUUAAAGAUUUUUUUUUUGACUAGUGGUACAUAUGGGGCCCAACUGUAAACACUGUGAGUUAAGCACUGAAAACCCUCAGUGCUUGUGGCCUAUGUGUAGAGCCCUCACUGCUGGAUGCUUCCCUGGUGCCAUCCACAGAGAAGGCACACAUCAAGUCCUGUCACUCCAGCACCAGACCUUAAAUCGCUUCUGCAGGAGCACAUCUGGGCUUAAAAUUGAAGCACUCGUUUUCUUACCUAAUUCAUUUAGCGAGAGCCUCUCGAAUGCUAAUUUAGCUGCCUGAUUUUCCAUAUAUGGCAUAAUUAUGAAAGUAAUGGCAAAAGCAGGGGAAUCUGUAGAGGCAUACUUGUACAGUUUUCUGUUAAGUAAAUUGAACACCAUGGUAAUAGGCAUAAAUAAGCAGAAAUUAUGCCCAGGCUUCCUCAGGUAUCAAACAUCACAUGAAGGAAAUGGGGUUUUUGAAGUUUCUUUGUAAACCCAAGCUAAGUACUUCUUAUGGAAAGCUUGGCCUCAACAGUUUGCAGUUAACUUUUUCUAGGCCUCUCUUGUCCUCAUUGAGCUCAUCUCAGUUUACUUGGGAAUCUCACCGGCUGGUAGACUGUGGAGUAUGACUCAUCUUCAGGACUGAUAGCAAGUGUCACACAGGUGUUUUGCAGCCCUCCUGUAACUUAGAGAUAGUUUAGAUUUUAGAGAGAUGCCAAGUACAUCUUUUAAUAAGAUCUUUCUGACACUAGACAUCUGGAGUUUGGCAUCAACUCAAAGUGGUUGAUGAUGUGUGAUUUAAACUAAUGUGUCUCAAUAUUCUGCCCAGAUUGGAAACUCCCUUUUAUAUAUUGGCUCCACUUCAGCACUUUCAGGGGCCCACACCAAAAUAUUUGCUGUUAAAAUAUGCAAACAUCACACAGAAAAAUAAAGAGAUUAACGUAUAACGUUAAGUUAUACAUGCACUUCACUUCAGAUGUUAGAAUAAAGGAAUCGUCUUUUGUCAAUCCCUGGAACUAUCAUGGCACCUUCAGUGUAGUAUAUCUGACAUAACUUGUAAUGAGAAUGAUUCUCAUCUGUGGCUUGUGGAAAAUCAGCCUUAUUGAUUUAUAAGUCACACUGUGUAUGUCAGUGUUUACACCAGUACUUUAACACAUGGGUUGCCAUUCACAAUCACUUGGGUGAAGCUGGGGGAGAAAAGGUUUCCCGGGUUCUGAGUCAGAGCCUAUGUGUUCUUAGCCCUUCAGAGUUUAUUCUAAUGUGUUGCCAAGGUUGGGAACUCAUUGGGUUACACUAAUGAAAUAUCGAGCAUUGGGAGGAUUGUGUUGUUUCAAAAAGGAAUCAAACUUUUAAAGGUGUGUGUCCAUUUUGGGUUUCAGUUCUGUGGGUGUAGUUUUUAGUUUUACUGGAGGCAGGCCUUUAAUAUACAGCAAGUUUGAUGCUGUGUUACUGUCUCAGCUAUGUAGUUAGAGUACAAAUGCUCAAACCAGGGCACCUGUGGUGGUGAAAGAGUCUCAAACUCACAUGCCUCAGGACACAGCAUAUGAGGGAAGUAACCAAGUUCAAUGCAGUGGGGCGUGGCAGAGACUGGCAAACUGAAGAGUCUUUGCUUUGCUUAAAAAGGCAGCCGAUACCCAGUGUUGCCAUGUUGGAGUACAGGCCCUUUGUUGGCAGAUGCUUUUAUUUAUUAUUAUUAUUUGAGAG
rnacentral:lncRNA from 1 species